CGCACAUUGCGCCCAUUAGUAUUCUAGUGGGCAUGCCUGUUCGAGCGUCAUUUCAACCCUUAAGCCCUGUUGCUUAGCGUUGGGAGCCUACACUGUAGCUCCCCAAAGUUAGUGGCGGAGUCGGUCUCACACUCUAGACGUAGUAAAUCUAUCUCGUCUGUAGUUGGGCCGGUCCCCUGCCGUAAAACCCCCCAAUUUUAAAGGUUGACCUCGGAUCAGGUAGGAAUACCCGCUGAACUUAA
rnacentral:misc_RNA from 1 species